CCCUUAGAUGUUCGGGGCCGCACGCGCGCUACACUGAAGGAAUCAGCACGUCUUUCUCCUUGUCCGAAAGGACUGGGUAACCCGCUGAACCUCCUUCGUGCUAGGGAUUGGGGCUUGUAAUUCUUCCCCAUGAACGAGGAAUUCCCAGUAAGCGCGAGUCAUAAGCUCGCGUUGAUUACGUCCCUGCCCUUUGUACACACCGCCCGUCGCUACUACCAAUUGGAUGGUUUAGUGAGAUCCUCGGAUUGGUCCCGGCGCGGCCUCUGGUCGUGCCGGAGUGCCGAAAAGAAUGUCGAACUUGAUCAUCUAGAGGAAGUAAAAGUCGUAACA
rnacentral:rRNA from 1 species